rnacentral:rRNA from 1 species
GAUGAGCAUGCGUCCCAUUAGCUAGUUGGUAAGGUAACGGCUUACCAAGGCUACGAUGGGUAGGGGUCCUGAGAGGGAGAUCCCCCACACUGGUACUGAGACACGGACCAGACUCCUACGGGAGGCAGCAGUGAGGAAUAUUGGACAAUGGGCGCAAGCCUGAUCCAGCCAUGCCGCGUGCAGGAUGACGGUCCUAUGGAUUGUAAACUGCUUUUAUACGAGAAGAAACACUCCUUCGUGAAGGAGCUUGACGGUAUCGUAAGAAUAAGGAUCGGCUAACUCCGUGCCAGCAGCCGCGGUAAUACGGAGGAUCCAAGCGUUAUCCGGAAUCAUUGGGUUUAAAGGGUCCGUAGGCGGUUUAAUAAGUCAGUGGUGAAAGCCCAUCGCUCAACGGUGGAACGGCCAUUGAUACUGUUAGACUUGAAUUAUUAGGAAGUAACUAGAAUAUGUAGUGUAGCGGUGAAAUGCUUAGAGAUUACAUGGAAUACCAAUUGCGAAGGCAGGUUACUACUAAUUGAUUGACGCUGAUG